rnacentral:rRNA from 1 species
CAACUUUCAGCAACGGAUCUCUUGGCUCUCGCAUCGAUGAAGAACGCAGCGAAAUGCGAUAAGUAAUGUGAAUUGCAGAAUUCAGUGAAUCAUCGAAUCUUUGAACGCACCUUGCGCCCUUUGGCCAUUCUGAAGGGCAUGCCUGUUUGAGUAUCAUGAACACCCUCAACUC